rnacentral:rRNA from 1 species
GACAGAGGGUGCAACCGUUGUUCGGAAUUACUGGGCGUAAAGCGCGUGUAGGCGGUUUGGUAAGUCGGAUGUGAAAGCCCCGGGCUCAACCCGGGAAGUGCACUCGAUACUGCCAAGCUAGAGUAUCGGAGAGGUUGGUGGAAUUCUCGGUGUAGAGGUGAAAUUCGUAGAUAUCGAGAGGAACACCGGUGGCGAAGGCGGCAUCCUGGACCGGCAUUGACGCUGAGGCGCGAAAGCUAGGGGAGCAAACGGG